AGGAUGAACGCUGGCGGCGUGCCUAACACAUGCAAGUCGAGCGAUCUUCUUCGGAAGAGAGCGGCGGACGGGUGAGUAACGCGUGGGUAACCUGCCCUGUACACACGGAUAACAUACCGAAAGGUAUGCUAAUACGAGAUGACAUAUGAGAGUUGCAUGACUUUCAUAUCAAAGCUUUUGCGGUACAGGAUGGACCCGCGUCUGAUUAGCUAGUUGGUAAGGUAACGGCUUACCAAGGCGACGAUCAGUAGCCGACCUGAGAGGGUGAUCGGCCACACUGGAACUGAGACACGGUCCAGACUCCUACGGGAGGCAGCAGUGGGGAAUAUUGCACAAUGGGCGAAAGCCUGAUGCAGCAACGCCGCGUGAGCGAUGAAGGCCUUCGGGUCGUAAAGCUCUGUCCUCAAGGAAGAUAAUGACGGUACUUGAGGAGGAAGCCCCGGCUAACUACGUGCCAGCAGCCGCGGUAAUACGUAGGGGGCUAGCGUUAUCCGGAAUUACUGGGCGUAAAGGGUGCGUAGGCGGUCUUUCAAGCCAGAAGUGAAAGGCUACGGCUCAACCGUAGUAAGCUUUUGGAACUGUAGGACUUGAGUGCAGGAGAGGAGAGUAGAAUUCCUAGUGUAGCGGUGAAAUGCGUAGAUAUUAGGAGGAAUACCAGUAGCGAAGGCGGCUCUCUGGACUGUAACUGACGCUGAGGCACGAAAGCGUGGGGAGCGAACAGGAUUAGAUGCCCUGGUAGUCCACGCCGUAAACGAUGAGUACUAGGUGUCGGGGGUUACCCCCCUCGGUGCCGCAGCUAACGCAUUAAGUACUCCGCCUGGGAAGUACGCUCGCAAGAGUGAAACUCAAAGGAUCUGCUGAA
rnacentral:rRNA from 1 species